rnacentral:rRNA from 1 species
CCUACGGGCGGCAGCAGUCGAGAAUCAUUCACAAUGGGGGAAACCCUGAUGGUGCGACGCCGCGUGGGGGAAUGAAGGUCUUCGGAUUGUAAACCCCUGUCAUGUGGGAGCAAAUUAAAAAGAUAGUACCACAAGAGGAAGAGACGGCUAACUCUGUGCCAGCAGCCGCGGUAAUACAGAGGUCUCAAGCGUUGUUCGGAAUCACUGGGCGUAAAGCGUGCGUAGGCUGUUGCGUAAGUCGUGUGUGAAAGGCGCGGGCUCAACCCGCGGACGGCACAUGAUACUGCGAGACUAGAGUGAUGGAGGGGGAAGCGGAAUUCUCGGUGUAGCAGUGAAAUGCGUAGAUAUCGAGAGGAACACUCGUGGCGAAGGCGGGUUCCUGGACAUUAACUGACGCUGAGGCACGAAGGCCAGGGGAGCGAAAGGGAUUAGAUACCCUUGUAGUC